ensembl:lncRNA
AACUAGUUUCUGCUGAGAGCAGGCCUCAUUAAGAAGUACAGAAUGCUCUGGUGAAUUUCAAAAUGGUUGCUUCCCUCUCCCACUGGGAGAAGCACAAGGGUAUUUUUCCCUGGUAUUCACUGUGAGAACCUGGCCAGGCUCCAGGAGGUAAAAUUCACAAAAUGUGGGGACCUCGCUAUGAUUGUGUCACCCUGGAGGUUUUAUCUCUGAGACUUUCCACACGGAGCCUCCAAAUUCUUCAGUUACAGUUAAGGUUUUGCUACUCCACGCUGGUUUCCAUGGAGAUUUCAGCUCAUGGGUUUCUGCUCUGUAAAUAAGAAUUACAGAAGAGGAAGAACUUCCAAACAUAAAAGGAAGAUGAGGUAGAGUGAAGAAGAGAUGGCCAUACCUGGGAAGACUAGAUGUGCUAGUAACAGAUUCUGGAACUAAGCAUCCAAAACGGUCUUGAUGAAGAAACAAAUUCAGUAACGUGAUCACGGUCAGACAAAGAGUAGAAAAUGAACUGGAAUUUCAACCCAGGCCACAUGACUCCAGAGAAGUUAACCUCAGUCACAGUGUCAUGAUGCAUUGGAAAUCCAUGUCUAGAAAUGGCUUUUAUGGUUCUUAAAUCACAGGUUCCUUGCUGAAUCCUUUUCGUAAAUUCAUUGGAGACGAGGUUGGUGGAAACAUGCUAGUGCUAAAUUUCUGUGAUGCGUUCACCUGUAUGGUAGUUGGAGGAGGCUGCAGAAUCUCUACUAUUGGUGUGCCUGGCAUGAAGAUGGCCAGUGAGGAGCAUGAGCAAGAGAUGAAAUUCAGCCCUUCCCACCAAUCAAGCCAUAUUUACCCUUCAUCAGCCUGGAGAAAGGGGUGCCUUUUGGCUAUUUGCUCAAAGGUGCUAUAUGUGCUAACAGCAGUCCAGUUUUGUCUAAGUACUUUAUACAAAUAGAGUCCUAAGUAUAUAUUCUUUUGUGUCUUGCUUCUUUCUCUCAACUUUAUUUUGGUGGCUUCAUCCAAAUUAUUGUAUGCAGUUGUAAUGCAUUCAUUCUCAGUGUUGUAGAGUGUUUACAUAAUUUGCUUAUCUAUUCUGCUAUUGAUGUGCAUUCGAGUAGUUUUAGUUUGGGGCAUAUAAAUAUUUUUGCUAUAACAAUUAGAGUAGAUGUUUUGGGGAAAUAUAUUUACUUAUUUCUGUUUGAUAUAUUCCUGGAACUACUGUUGCUGGAUCAUAGCAUACAUAUAUGAAUGUUUACUUUUAGUAGUAUGACCAAUAGUUUUCCAAAGUGUUUUGCUAAUUUACAUUCCCACCAUUUGUGUUUGGGGUUCUGGUUAUUCCACAUUUUUGCCAUUACUUAGUAUUUUCAUAUUCUUCAUUUUAGCCAUUCUGAUGGGUAUGUAACGAUUUUCCAUUAUGGUGUAAUUCGCAUUUCCCUGAUAAUUAACAAAGUUGAGCACCUUUCAACAUAUGCAUUAUCCAUUUGGAUAUCCUCUUUUAUUGUGUCUCUUAAUGUCUUUUGCCUAUUUUUAUAUUGGAUUGUCCACUUUCUUCUUAUUGAUUAAUAGGGACUCUUUAUACAGUCUUUUGUUGAAUUUGUGUUUUGAGAAAAUGUUCCCUUAUUUGUAGAUUGCUUUAUCAUUCUCCUAAAGGUGUUUUUGAUAACAGGGAUUCUUAAUUUUAAUCUAAUAUGGUUUAACAAGUUUUUCUUUUGUGGUUACUGCCUUUGGGGUCCUAUUUAAGAAAUCUUUGCAUAUUCCAAGUUCAUAAAGAUUUCCCUUUUUCUUUAAAGCUUUAUUAUUUUACCUUUAACUUUUAGAUUUCCAUUUUUGAACUGAUGAUUUUUGCAUGCUAAAUGUCCAGAUACAUUUUAUUUUACAGAUAUCCAAUUGAGCCCAGCUUCAUCUAUUGAAAAGUCCAUUUUUUUCCCACUGUGAUAUGCAUCACUUUUCUCACAAAUUCUAGGCAAAUUUUAAAGUUGAAAAACAACAUUAAGAAAAAUGACAUGAUGUGUAAUUAGUGCCCACUGAGAACAUUCACAUUUUAAAUGUUUUUUUCUUUUUUUGGAGUUGUUGAAAUAUUUAACAAAAUAUUUUAUUAACUUCUUAUCUAUUUUUAUUUAUUUAUUUAUUCAAUUCAGUGAGAAGCAGUGUAAUAAAAUGGCUGCUAUCUCUGUCCCUCAUCAUUGUGGUUUGUGAUGAUACUUCCUUGAGUGAUCUGCUGGUUUUUAUUAAGCUUUCUUGCCAUGUGCAGAUGACAAAUAAAAAAAGAGACAUGAACUAAAAGAUGUGCUUCUGCUCAUAGCUAACUCUUCUCUCUAUUAAGGUAAUGUACUCGUCAAUAGACCUCAUAUACAUGCAGAGAAGUUUCUAGCUCCUUGGAAAUAUAUUUAUUUUACAAAGGAAAACUUUAGUCCCAGAAAAAUGAAGUGACUUGUCACAGUACUGAUUGAAGAGACAGCCUGGAAUUGAAACCCAGAAAUCCUGCAUCUUAUUUCCUUUGAGACCCUUGUGUUUCUUUAAGAAACAAAGAAAAGAAAAAUCUGAGUCACGUACUCAUUUUGAAAACUUGGCAACUCAACAAAACUAUAAUUUCAGUAGCUUCUUUUUUUCUCCAUAUGAUUGGAGAUCAUUGGGUCUCUGAAUUUUGAGCUUAAAACAAUGGAAGCCCUAUUACCAGUCUCCUGAGGACAUCUACUAUGGUCUGAAUGUAUGUGUGCCCCAAAAAUUCAUAUGUUGAAAUCCCAACACCCAAAGAUCAUGGCAUUAGGAGGUGGGGCCUUUGGGAGGUGCUAAAGUCAUGGGGGCUGAGCCAUCAUGAAUGGGAUUAGUGCUCUUAUAAUAGAGGAAGACCCGUAGCCCCUCUUACUUUGUGAGGACACAGCAAGAAGGCACUGGCUAUGACCUGGGAAGAGAGCCCUCACCAAAACAUGACCAUACUGAUUCCUUGAUCUCAGACUUCUGGCCUCCAGUACUAUGAGAAGUAAAUUUCUGUUGUUUAUAACUCACCUAGUCUGUGACAUCUUGUUACAGCAGCUGAACAGACUAAGACACCACCUACUAACCUUCUGAUUUGUCACCAGCAUCCCAGGGAAGCAAUAGAAAAUGGUAGCAAGAGGCUCUGCCUGUGUGACUUCUUGCUGAUACCCAGACUGUAAUCAUUCUAAGCUACCAUUCGCUCUGCAGAUUUUGGGAAAUUAUAAAACAAUUUGUGAGAUAAAUAAAUUUCUCUCUAACCUAUCUGUAUAUAUC